rnacentral:rRNA from 1 species
UACGAAGGGUGCUAGCGUUGUUCGGAAUUACUGGGCGUAAAGCGCGCGUAGGCUGCAUAGCCAGUCAGUGGUGAAAUCCCGGAGCUUAACUUCGGAACUGCCAUUGAAACUGCUGUGCUGGAAUCUCAGAGGGGAUAGCGGAAUUCCAAAUGUAGGGGUGAAAUCCGUAGAUAUUUGGAGGAACACCGGUGGCGAAGGCGGCUAUCUGGAUGAGUAUUGACGCUGAGGCGCGAAAGCGUGGGGAUCAAACAGG